rnacentral:rRNA from 1 species
UACGUAGGGUGCAAGCGUUGUCCGGAAUUAUUGGGCGUAAAGAGCUCGUAGGCGGUUUGUUGCGUCGGCUGUGAAAUCCCGAGGCUCAACCUCGGGUCUGCAGUCGAUACGAGCAAACUAGAGUGUUGCAGGGGAGACUGGAAUUCCUGGUGUAGCGGUGAAAUGCGCAGAUAUCAGGAGGAACACCGGUGGCGAAGGCGGGUCUCUGGGCAACAACUGACGCUGGAGGAGCGAAAG